rnacentral:ncRNA from 1 species
GUCAAACGACAGGGGAGCGCCUGCCUACCGGGUGCUGAGAGUGCACACGCAGACCCUCGAACCUGAUCCGGUUAGUACCGGCGCUAGGGAGUCGAAAUCUACCGGCA